AUACGGAGGAUCCGAGCGUUAUCCGGAUUUAUUGGGUUUAAAGGGUGCGCAGGCGGCCAUUUAAGUCAGCGGUUAAAUCGUGGGGCUCAACCCCAUUCUGCCGUUGAUACUGGGUGGCUUGAUUGCGGUCGAGGUUGGCGGAAUUCGUUGUGUAGCGGUGAAAUGCAUAGAUAUGACGAAGAACACCGAUUGCGUAGGCAGCUGACCAGACCGCAAAUGACGCUCAUGCACGAAAGUGCGGGGGUCGAACAGGAUUAGAUACCCUGGUAGUCCGCACAGUAAACGAUGAAUACUUGUUUUCGGCGAUAUAAUGUCGGAGGCAAAGCGAAAGCGAUAAGUAUUCCACCUGGGGAGUACGCCGGCAACGGUGAAACUCAAAUGAAUUGACGGGG
rnacentral:rRNA from 1 species